rnacentral:rRNA from 1 species
CACCAAGAGAUUAAGUCAUAUAUAAAAGGUAAAAAGACAGUUAAAUAUAAAAAUAGAUUGCAUACAUUUUUGUAAAAAAGUAAAAUUUGAAUACAAAUUUCUAAUCUAAUAGUAAUUUAUCAUGUUGAAGCUGUGAAAGCCUUGAGGGAAACUGGGAUUAGAUACCCCAUUAUUCUUGGCCUUAAACUAAUGAAUAAACACACUUACCGGAGUACUAUGAAUACCUAAAAUUUAAAACUCAAAGGGCUUGGCGGUGUUUUAGACCACUUAGGGGAACCUGUCUCAUAAUCGAUAAUCCACGAUAAACCUGACCUUUUUUUGUACUCAGCUUGUAUACCGUUGUCGUCAGGUAACUUUUUAGAAAUUAGAAGUUAGCUAUAAGAAUUGUAAACUAAAACGUCAAAUCAAGGUGCAGUCUAUAAAAAGGAGAGGAUGGGUUACAAUUAUAAAAUUAUAAUACGGAAAGCCACUAGAAUUAAAAGCUUUGAAGGAGGACUUAAAAGUAAAAUAGACUAUACAAAUAUCUUGAAUGGGGCUCUGAGACGUGC